GAUAUACUCUAGCAGAGAAAACAGAAACCAGUCUGUUGAACACGCUGCCGUCAGAACCACACUGAAGACCCAUUUGGAUGUAAGACUCGCCCCCCUGUGGCAGAACCAGCUACCAGAGAACUUCAGGACUGCUCCGUCUCUCACUGCCUUCUGCCGCCUCCUCAAGACCCAUCUGUUUACACUGAACUUGAAGAUCCCUUAAUCUACCUCUCCUAUUAUGCACUGGACUUGCCUGACUUAAAAACCACGUUACACAGUGCCUGAGUUGAACAGCGCCACCUUGGGUUACAGGCCUUUACAAAUAGCAAGAAACAAGUUAGAAUUUAAAGUGUUACAGAUUGCAGUUCAUGCCCCCUCCUGCAACAAUGCUGGUCCUCUGAUAUAAACAAGUGAUGAAGUGUGGGAACAGAAAACCAGCACUGUUGCAGGUAGGAGCAUGAUCUGGAUACCCUGCGAGCCCAAGAAAACACUUUAUUUUCUCCUGGCAACUGCUGUCUAGUAAAUGUUUUAAAAGGGUUGGCAUUAUGUUUAAAAAUAUAACGCUGUGAUACGGACAAGAAAUAAACAUAUAAACCUUGCUUUAACUGGCCUGGCAUGCAUCUUAUUCAAAGGCAGCCCUGAAAGGUUUUUUUGUGUGGAAACCUUGUGCUUGGCCUAUAAGAAUUUACAAAAGUGCAAGCACACAGUAUAUCACAGUAUCCCUCAGCUAUAGUCUCUUUAUCUCAAAGGAAACAAACGUUCGAGUCCUCAAUGUCUUGCUCCCAGGCUCCCUCAGCCUGUG